UAUGAAAGAAAUAAAUAGGAAACUCUAUCCAUAAUAAGAAUAAUGUCCCUUAUAACUAAGAGUCUACCUUAACUAGUUAGAAUAGGUGUCCCACAUAAUUAAAACUCUAUCCAAAGUAGGAAUAGGAAAUCUAUUAAGGGAAGACUCAAUCCUAUCCUUAACAACCAAGAAAAUCACAAGUACUUGAUGAAAUAAACAAC